rnacentral:rRNA from 1 species
GUAGGGAAUAUUGCGCAAUGGACGAAAGUCUGACGCAGCGACGCCGCGUGAGUGAUGAAGGCCUUAGGGUCGUAAAGCUCUGUUGAAUGGGAAGAAAAAAAUGACGGUACCAUUCGAGGAAGGACCGGCUAACUUCGUGCCAGCAGCCGCGGUAAUACGAGGGGUCCUAGCGUUGUUCGGAAUCAUUGGGCGUAAAGGGUGUGUAGGUGGCCAUGUAAGUCAGGUGUGAAAGCCCCGGGCUCAACCCGGGAAGUGCACUUGAUACUGCGUGGCUUGAGUACCGAAGAGGGUAGUGGAAUUCCAGGUGUAGUGGUGAAAUACGUAGAUAUCUGGAGGAACACCGGUGGCGAAGGCGGCUACCUGGUCGAGUACUGACACUGAGACACGAAAGCAUGGGGAUCAAACAGGAUUAGAUACCCUUGUAGUCC